CACGUAGGGCGCAAGCGUUUGUCCGGAAUUAUUGGGCGUAAAGAGCUCGUAGGCGGUCUGUUGCGUCCGCUGUGAAAACUCGGGGCUUAACCCCGAGCCUGCAGUGGAUACGGGCAGACUAGAGGUAGGUAGGGGAGAAUGGAAUUCCCGGUGUAGCGGUGAAAUGCGCAGAUAUCGGGAGGAACACCGGUGGCGAAGGCGGUUCUCUGGGCCUUACCUGACGCUGAGGAGCGAAAGCGUGGGGAGCGAACAGGG
rnacentral:rRNA from 1 species